rnacentral:tRNA from 1 species
GGCGUCGUGGCCGAGUGGUUAAGGCGACAGACUUGAAAUCUGUUGGGCUCUGCCCGCACAAGUAAUCGAAUCUUGUCGGCGACG